rnacentral:rRNA from 1 species
UCGGGAAUAUUGCGCAAUGGAGGAAACUCUGACGCAGUGACGCCGCGUAUAGGAAGAAGGUUUUCGGAUUGUAAACUAUUGUCGUUAGGGAAGAUACAAGACAGUACCUAAGGAGGAAGCUCCGGCUAACUACGUGCCAGCAGCCGCGGUAAUACGUAGGGAGCGAGCGUUAUCCGGAUUUAUUGGGUGUAAAGGGUGCGUAGACGGGAAUUAGUUAGUUGUGAAAUCCCACGGCUCAACUGUGGAACUGCAACUAAAACUGAUUUUCUUGAGUACUGGAGAGGAAAGUGGAAUUCCUAGUGUAGCGGUGAAAUGCGUAGAUAUUAGGAGGAACACCAGUGGCGAAGGCGACUUUCUGGACAGAAACUGACGUUGAGGCACGAAAGUGUGGGGAGCAAACAGGGUUAGAUACCCUGGUAGU